GUGCCAGCCGCCGCGGUAAUACCGGCAGCCCGAGUGAUGGCCGAUCUUAUUGGGCCUAAAGCGUCCGUAGCUGGCCGCGCAAGUCCGUCGGGAAAUCCAUCAGCCCAACUGAUGGGCGUCCGGCGGAAACUGCACGGCUUGGGACCGGAAGGCUCGAGAGGUACGUCCGGGGUAGGAGUGAAAUCCCAUAAUCCCGCACGGACCACCGAUGGCGAAAGCACUUCGAGAAAACGGAUCCGACAGUGAGGGACGAAAGCCAGGGUCUCCAACCGGAUUAGAUACCCCAGUAGUCC
rnacentral:rRNA from 1 species